UACGUAGGGGGCGAGCGUUGUCCGGAUUUACUGGGCGUAAAGCGCGUGUAGGCGGCUGCUUAAGUCGGGUGUGAAAGCCCGGGGCUCAACCCCGGGAUGCCGCCCGAGACUGGGCGGCUUGAGGUCGGAAGAGGGGAGUGGAAUUCCAGGUGUAGCGGUGAAAUGCGUAGAGAUCGGGAGGAACACCUGUGGCGAAAGCGGCGCACUGGACCACAUCUGACGCUGAGGCGCGAAAGCUAGGGGAGCAAACAGG
rnacentral:rRNA from 1 species